UGCAACCUGAGCUCAGUCGUGACU
rnacentral:rRNA from 2 species